rnacentral:misc_RNA from 1 species
GAUGAAGAACGUAGGGAAAUGCGAUAAGUAGUGUGAAUUGCAGAAUUCAGUGAAUCAUCGAAUCUUUGAACGCACAUUGCGCCCCUUGGUAUCCCGAGGGGCAUGCCUGUUCGAGCGUCAUUUCACCACUCAAGCCUGGCUUGGUGUUGGGCGACGUCCCCUUUGGGGACGCGCCUCGAAACGCUCGGCGGCGUGGCACCGGCUUUAAGCGUAGCAGAAUCUUUCGCUUUGGAAGUCGGGGCCCCGUCUGCCGGAAGACCUACUCGCAAGGUUGACCUCGGAUCAGGCAGGGAUACCCGCUGAACUUAAGCAUAUCAAUAAGCGGAGGA